rnacentral:SRP_RNA from 1 species
CGCGGCUCUCCGCGCGGCGAUACCUCGCCCAACUCCCCCAGGACCGGAAGGUAGCAAGGGUAAGCGAGCUCUUUCGGGUGCGCGGAGAGUUCUCCUU